UUCACCCUCUGCCUUCUGUGCUAUCACUGGACUGUCCCUGUAUUAAAAGCAAUGGAAAUGCCUCUAAAGAAGUCAGUGGUAGUGGAAUUGCAAUGUUGGAUUUCUAGUAUGUUUUUAUUUUUCUCUUUCUCUCUCUGAAGAUUUUAAUAUGCAGAGGCUUGAGGACCUUCUACGGGAUUCAGAGAGCAUUGAUGGGCAAGAUUUUUCUCAGCAGCCAUCUUUGUCCAGUUGGUGUCAAAGACAGAAAGGGGCCCAACAAUGUUGGCAACAGGCGAGGCCACAAAACAUUCACAACUUGUUGUCAGCUGAGAACAUUGUCCAGAUGAAGUGCAACCACUGUCACGUGACAGAAGCCAUCAUCCGUUGCAGGGAAUGUUUGCCCUCAGAGUGGUUUUGUGCAGAGUGUGAUCAAUUGGUACAUAAACGCCACACUCUGCACAGUAGGCAGACCACCAUGUAGGGCUUUUAUAAAUACAUUCCCCCAACUGAGUUUGUGAAACUCCAUGAUGAUAAGUACAUCAUCUGUGAACAAGAUUGUGUGCUGCCAACAGCCUUUCCUCAAAAUAUAUGUUCCUGUGACGCUGGUGAUGUUGCAAUCUCUGUUGGUAGAUCCAUCAUACUGGUUUGCAUAAAUGGCCGUUAUAAUCUUCACGUUCCGGUGCUAACAUGCAAACAUUGCAAUAAGCAAUGGGCUCCAGAAGUCAGUGACUUUGUAAGGAGUGGUUACUGGCCCGGUACCAUGCAAGCACAGACACUUUUCCACCAAGAUCUGUUCCAUUCCUUUGAAGCUAUGAAGACAACAGCUCCAGGAAUGUCAAUGAAAGCCUUCACAGCAAUGUUGGACCAGAGAACAAAGCGGUUU